GGCUCUUUCUGGGCUCGUUUUAACUGGGGAGAAUACAGUUCCUCCUUCCGUUCCUUUCGCGGGUGCACGAGAGGCAGCUGGAGAGCGGUCAGCGGCCCACGAGGUAAUGAGGAUAGAGUCAGCAGUUAGUAUUUGUUUCUGAUGGUAUUGCAAGUUUCCUGUCUCGACUCUGCUAUGCUACUCCUUUGUAACCAGCAAGAUGUCACAUGAACUGUUAAAGAAAUAAGGCUAUGAGCAUUGGCCUCAGAUUUUGUUGCUCUGUCCAGAAAUCCUUAUAUUGUGAGAUGGGCUUUCAAAUGCUGCUUACCUGAAGCCUGCCAGCUCUCACCUGAACUGCUGAGUGGGAAAUACCUUCGUUAUGUGAUUUGCUGAGCUCAGACACAUUCAGAAAUGCCAUUUUCCUGACUUUGUUCUGCUCUUUGCAGCCAACAAGAUGUUGGUUGAAUUCUCUUAAGAACAAGAAUUUACAUCAACCGUGGUGUUAAAUAUAUGUUGUCUAAUGUGCAGUUAACUUGCAGCUACCAAGAAGUCAUACAGUUUUCAAGGCAUGUUGUGGGAAGCAGCCCUGUGAACCAGGGAAAAGAUGAGUGUGUUCUGUCUUUCUGCACCAAAGAAUCUGCGGGAGUAUAGGCAUGUACAGUACAUACAGGGCUGGCACUAGCAAAGAAAGCAGGUUCCUGGAUGGCCAAUAGAAAGGGGCAGCAGUCCGUCUGUUGGGGUGGCACAUCCAGGUCAGUGGUGGCAUUUCGGCGAUGGUUCCUUCGGCGGCAGCUCAAUCGCUCCUCUUCAGUCUUCAGCGGCACUUUGGCAGCGAGACCUUCAACUUUUUUUUCCCCUUUGCCACUUGAGGUGGCAAAAAAGCUGGAGCCAGCCCUGUCUGUUUAGACUAGAGUAUGAGCUCUUCAAUGCAGGGACUGUCCAUAUUAGGUGCCAUACAAACAAUGGGCCCUAAUUUCACUUUAAGGCCUCUAGGUGCUACUGGCAUACAAAUAAUAAAAUAGGUAUCAUACCUCUAA